AGUGAACGCUGGCGGUAGGCCUAACACAUGCAAGUCGAACGGCAGCACAGUAAGAGCUUGCUCUUACGGGUGGCGAGUGGCGGACGGGUGAGGAAUACAUCGGAAUCUACUUUUUCGUGGGGGAUAACGUAGGGAAACUUACGCUAAUACCGCAUACGACCUACGGGUGAAAGCAGGGGAUCUUCGGACCUUGCGCGAUUGAAUGAGCCGAUGUCGGAUUAGCUAGUUGGCGGGGUAAAGGCCCACCAAGGCGACGAUCCGUAGCUGGUCUGAGAGGAGGAUCAGCCCCACUGGAACUGAGACACGGACCAGACUCCUACGGGAGGCAGCAGUGGGGCAUAUUGGACAAUGGGCGAAAGCCUGACCCAGCCAUACCGCGUGAGUGAGGAAGGCCUUCGGGUUGUAAAGCCCUUUUGUUGGGAAUGAAGAUCAGCAGGUUAAUACCCCGCUGUUCUGACGGUACCCAAAGAAUAAGCACCGGCUAACUUCGUG
rnacentral:rRNA from 1 species